GAUGAACGCUAGCGGCAGGCUUAACACAUGCAAGUCGAGGGGCAGCAUGAGACGGAGAUUCGUCGAAGUCUUGAUGGCGACCGGCGCAAGGGUGCGUAACGCGUGAGCAACUUGCCCGUUUCUGGGGGAAUAACCGGUGGAAACGCCGACUAAUACCCCAUAGUAUUGACUUUGGGCAUCCUUAGUCAAUUAAAGAAAUUCGGUGACGGAUGAGGAUGCGUACGAUUAGCUAGUUGGCGGGGUAACGGCCCACCAAGGCUACGAUCGUUAGGGGUUCUGAGAGGAAGGUCCCCCACACUGGAACUGAGACACGGUCCAGACUCCUACGGGAGGCAGCAGUGAGGAAUAUUGGUCAAUGGGCGGGAGCCUGAACCAGCCAAGUAGCGUGAAGGAUGACUGCCCUACGGGUUGUAAACUUCUUUUGUUUGGGAAUAAAAGACGCUACGUGUAGCGUUCUGCAUGUACCUUACGAAUAAGCAUCGGCUAAUUCCGUG
rnacentral:rRNA from 1 species